GCAGUCUAUCAGUCGGAGUGUGCGGAGGGACUGAUGUAUGCUUCUUAGGGCACUCUGAGGAACGCUGCUGUGUCUGGAGGAGAAGUCCAGAAUGGGGCACAUUGGGAUGUUGAAAUCCCCGCCUAGGAUCCCUUUAGUAAAAGUGGACAAUUUAGCAAGUACUGCGCACAUAUAGAGGGAUUGGUUGUGGUUCAGCGCGUACACAUUUGGUAAGGUGUACCUACUGCCCAUUAC